rfam:Schistosoma mansoni strain Puerto Rico chromosome 7, complete genome
AUCCAGCUGGCGAGUCCCAAAUGGGACGAAACGCGCGUCCUGGAU